rnacentral:rRNA from 1 species
UACGGAGGGUGAGAGCGGUAAUCGGAAUUACUGGGCGUAAAGGGCGCGUAGGCGGUGGGUUACGUCUGCCGUGAAAUCCCCGGGCUCAACCUGGGAAUGGCGGUGGAAACGGGCUGACUGGAGUAUGGGAGAGGGUGAUGGAAUUCCAGGUGUAGCGGUGAAAUGCGUAGAGAUCUGGAGGAACACCAGUGGCGAAGGCGGUCACCUGGCCCAAUACUGGCGCUGAGGCGCGAAAGCGUGGGGAGCAAACAGG